rnacentral:rRNA from 1 species
UGCAUAUCCAAUAAGCGGAGGAAAAGAAACCAACAGGGAUUGCCUUAGUAACGGCGAGUGAAGCGGCAAAAGCUCAAAUUUGAAAUCUGGCACCUUCGGUGUCCGAGUUGUAAUUUGAAGAAGGUAACUUUGGAGUUGGCUCUUGUCUAUGUUCCUUGGAACAGGACGUCACAGAGGGUGAGAAUCCCGUGCGAUGAGAUGCCCAAUUCUAUGUAAAGUGCUUUCGAAGAGUCGAGUUGUUUGGGAAUGCAGCUCUAAGUGGGUGGUAAAUUCCAUCUAAAGCUAAAUAUUGGCGAGAGACCGAUAGCGAACAAGUACAGUGAUGGAAAGAUGAAAAGAACUUUGAAAAGAGAGUGAAAAAGUACGUGAAAUUGUUGAAAGGGAAGGGCUUGAGAUCAGACUUGGUAUUUUGCGAUCCUUUCCUUCUUGGUUGGGUUCCUCGCAGCUUACUGGGCCAGCAUCGGUUUGGAUGGUAGGAUAAUGACUAAGGAAUGUGGCUCUACUUCGGUGGAGUGUUAUAGCCUUGGUUGAUACUGCCUGUCUAGACCGAGGACUGCGUCUUUGACUAGGAUGCUGGCAUAAUGAUCUUAAGCCACCCGUCUUGAAACACGGA